rnacentral:lncRNA from 1 species
CCGAUAAUUCAUCGUCGGUUUGUUGGGUAUUUGCGGCCAUUUUGACGUUGCUUUGGUUAUCCGAUUGUUUUCAAUUGUUCCGACGUAUAGUGACGUUAUGACUAUAGAUACAAAUUCCUUCUUGUUUUGCCUAAGUUUUUUGUAGAAAACGGUUUUAAGAGAAUAUGGCCAAAUAAAUCACAUAAAGAUCAGAGUUAAUAUCAAACGAAAUCUUCUUACCG